GCCGGAAGUGAGUGUGUCCGCGAGCGGCGGCGGAGUCUGGCUGCUGACGUCCAGAAACCGAAGCUGGACAGGUUGUGACUUGACCAAGGUCACACAGAUAGGAAGUGGCAGAGGUAUAUUGAAACUUUUGUCCUCUGACUCCAAACCCAGUCUGGAUCUACUUCACCUGCUGCUGCCUCCACCAGAAAGUAAUUAAAAAAAACAGAUGCUGAGGAAUUUGUUCUUGGGGCAUAGAACACUACUCUCCAGCAGUUGGAGUCAAGUCUCCCUUUUGAAGAAAUAUCUAUUCACAAUGAAAGUGGAGUCACCAGAAUUUCAGUCCCUUUUUACAGAAGGACUGAAGAACCUGACAGAGUUAUUCAAGAAGGAAAAUUAUGAAUUAAGAAUAGCAGGAGGAGCUGUGCGAGAUUUAUUAAAUGGAACAAAACCACAAGAUGUGGACUUUGCUACCACUGCUACUCCAGCUCAAAUGAAAGAGAUGUUCCAGGCUGCUGGGAUUCGUCUGAUCAAUAACAAAGGAGAAAAACAUGGAACUAUUACUGCCAGACUUCAUGAAGAAAAUUUUGAGAUCACGACACUAAGGAUUGAUGUCAUUACAGAUGGAAGGCAUGCAGAGGUGGAAUUCACAACUGACUGGCAGAAAGAUGCUGAGCGAAGAGAUCUCACCAUCAACUCAAUGUUUUUAGGUUUUGAUGGUACCCUUUAUGACUACUUUAAUGGCUAUGAAGAUUUGAAAAAUAAGAAUGUUAGAUUUGUAGGAAACCCUAAAGAGAGAAUUCAAGAGGAUUAUCUUCGAAUUUUGAGAUAUUUCAGGUUUUAUGGAAGAAUAGCAGAUAGACCUGGUGCCCAUGAUUCAAAGACUUUGGAAGCAAUUAAAGAAAAUGCGAAAGGUUUGGCUGGAAUUUCUGGAGAGAGGAUUUGGGUGGAACUGAAAAAAAUUCUUGUUGGUAACCAUGCAAAUCAUUUGGUUCAUCUUAUGUAUGAUCUUGAUGUGGCUCGUUACAUUGGUUUACCUGCUGCUGGGAAUUUAGAGGAAUUUAACAAAGUCAGCAAAAAUGUUGAAACUCUUUCUCCAAAGCCAAUGACUGUUUUGGCCUCAUUAUUCAAAGUACAGGAUGAUGUUAAAAACCUUGAUUUGAGAUUGAAGAUUGCAAAAGAAGAAAAAAAUCUUGGCUUGUUUAUAGUGAAAUAUAGGAAAGAUUUAACUAAAGCUGCUGAUAGUUCGGAACCACUGAAACCAUAUCAAGAUUUUGUUUUAGACUCUAGGGAACCUGAUAUACUUUCUCGAAUUUGUGAACUGCUCAAAUACCAAGGAGAGACGGGUCUUCUCAAGGAAAUGCAGCAGUGGUCUAUUCCUCCGUUUCCUGUCAGCGGCCAUGAUGUAAGAAAAGUCGGUAUUUCUUCAGGAAAAGAAAUUGGGUUAAUACUACAGCAGUUGCGAGAACAGUGGAAGAAGAGUGGCUACCAGAUGGAUAAGGAGGAACUUCUAAGUUUCAUAAAGAAGGCCUGAAAAUGAUUAAAGGGCUCUAGCUGGAUAAUCUCUAAGGCCCUUCCUGGCUUGCCAGCUCAAGAAACCUUUGAUAUGAAAUAAAAGGUUUGGGCCUAAGAAUCAACACCCUUGAUAAAAAGCCAUCAGAAGAAAAGACCAUUUUGGAGACUUAUGAAAAAAAGAUUGAAGAUUUUUAUAUUUUAAGUUUAUGCACAAAUCUCAAACCUACUUAAUGGGACUGUUCUGGUCAUUGAACAGAAGUGCCUACCAUUUGUUUCACAUUUUAAUGGAUUUUGUUCCAGAUGAGUUAUUUCCAUCCUCAGAAGUGACAAUCCUUAAAAAAACAGAAAAUUACUGGUUGAAAUAAAGAUUUCAGUGUUUCCAUUUGAACUAGAUGGCUGCUUUGUAGAAUAACCAGUUUUGCA